GACCGACGUCGUUUUCGUCCAUAUGGCUUCUCCCUCUCUUUUGUGUUGACUGUUGAGUUGGGCACCCGCCACCAGCGCUGCCACAGCCCUUCGUCUUUCCGCGCCCGCGCCACUGCAAUCGGACCCGACCACUACGGCUGGUCUUUCUUGAAAAUGCUACCUCUUAGAAAGUUGGGCUAUCUAGUUACUACUGCUGCUGCUUCCAGAUCUGCUCCUUCUUCAGUCUUUUCUUGUAGUAUCAUUAUUUCUCAGGUUCCGGAAUUCCAGUUUUUGGGUAAUGGGACUCGGAGGUGCAUACAUCGAUUCAUAGUUGUUGGCUCUUCACUUACCAAGCUAAUUAUGCAAAGUACCAUUUUGAAAUGCCAGCCGGAUGGGCUCAGCAAUCCCUUACGAUCUUUUUCAAGUGUCGCUGGAACCAUCCUGGUUCAGGCUAGAGAUAUAGGUAGAAUAUCUAUGGACCUAGAAAAUGCAGUCGAAGAGCAUAGAUUUGACGAUGCGUGGAAGUUGCACGAGCAACACAUGCUAAUGGAAGGGUUCCCUAGAAAAUCCCUUGUGAACAAGUUUCUAACGGCUUUUGCCGAAAGCCUAGAAUUGCGGUGGCUUGAGAAGGCAUAUGGUUUAGUGGAACAGGCUAUUGAAGAGGGGAAACAGAACUUGUUAGAGAAGAAGACACUUAUUUAUCUUGCUUUUUGUCUUGCAAGAUGUGGAUUAGUUAUUCCUGGAUCAACUGUUCUGAGGAAGUUGGUAGAAAUGGAACAAUUUCCCCCGGUGAGUGCUUGGUCAGCUAUCUUGGCUCACAUGUCGCAAACUGCUCCUGGUGCUUACCUUGCUGCUGAGUUGGUUACUGAGAUGGGUUACUUGUUCCAAGAUGGGAGGGUGGAUCCCCGUAAGAAGAUAAAUGCUCCUUUGAUUGCCAUGAAGCCCAACACAACCGCGUUUAACAUUGCUUUGGCCGGUUGUCUUUUGUUCCAUACUACUAGGAAAGCAGAGCAACUUCUUGACAUGAUGCCUCGUAUUGGUGUCAAGGUCGAUACGACUUUAUUGGUAAUUAUGGCCCAUAUUUAUGAAAGAAAUGGACGAAGAGAAGAGCUCAAGAAGCUGAAAAGACACAUAGAUGAAGCUCCUGACCUAAGUGAUGUUCAGUUUCGUCAGUUCUAUAAUUGCUUGCUUACAUGCCAUCUGAACUUUGGGGAUCUGGAAGCUGCAUCUUACAUGGUCUUGGAAAUGCUCCGGAAGGCAAAGGAAGCACAAAAUUCUCUUGCUGCUGCUACAAUGGUCUUUGAAGUUUCUGGAAGUGGCAAUCAAUCCCCUCCUGAACAGGUUUUGAGCCUCAGAAAAUUAGACGAUUUAGAUAAUGCCAAACUGCAUCAACGCCAUUCAAUAUGUUUUGAAGAUUUUUACCGAGACCGUAAGUUUUCACAACUUGAGGCUGAGGCCAAAGAGUUACUUGGUAUUCUACUGGUGAAGCUGCAGAGGCAAGUGGAUCUGAUCACAACGGAACGUGGUAUUCUGCAACCGACUGAAAGAAUCUAUGUAAAGUUGGUCAAGGGUUUCCUGGAAGUUGGCAAGACGAAGGAUUUGGCUGAGUUCCUAAUUAAGGCUGAGAAAGAGGACUCCCCUGCUUCCACUGACGAUUCAGUCUUGGUUCAUGUUAUCAAUUCGUGCAUUUUACUUGGAUGGUUAGACCAGGCACAUGACCUUCUUGAUGAAAUGCGCUUGGCUGGUGUUAAAACUGGAUCUGCUGUGUAUGCUUCCCUUGUGAAAGCAUAUUGUAAAGAAAAUAGAGCUGGGGAGGUGGCAUCACUCUUACGGGAUGCUCGCAAGGCUGGGAUCCAAUUAGAUUCAAGCUGUUACGAGGUACUGAUUCAGUCCAGGGUGCUUCAGGAUGAUAAUCAGGGGGCCCUCAAUCUGUUUAAAGAGAUGAAAGAAGCCAAAAUACCAAGAUCAGGCCAUCAAGAAUUUGAGAUGCUGGUGAAGGGAUGUGCAGACAAGGGUGAAGCAGGUUUGAUGGGAAAGCUUUUGCAGGAAAUUAAAGAAGGCCAGAGAUUAGAUUCAGGAGUUCAUGAUUGGAACCAUGUUAUCCAUUUCUUCUGUAAGAAAAGACUGAUGCAAGACGCUGAAAAGGCUCUUAAUAAGAUGAGGAGCUUGGGACAUCUCCCAAAUGCUCAAACAUUCCAUUCUAUGGUCACUGGGUAUGCUGCAAUAGGGGGGAAAUAUACAGAAGUAACUGAACUGUGGGGUGAGAUGAAGUCAUUUGCUUCUUCGACUGGGAUGAGGUUUGAUCAGGAACUGUUGGAUUCUGUACUUUACACAUUUGUGAGGGGUGGAUUCUUCAGUCGAGCAAAUGAAGUUGUGGCGAUGAUGGAGAGACAGAGCAUGUUUAUUGACAAGUACAAAUACCGCACCCUCUUCUUGAGGUACCACAAGACUCUCUACAAGGGAAAAGCUCCAAAAGUUCAGUCGGAAGCUCAACUGAAAAAGAGAGAAGCAGGAUUGACGUUCAAGAAAUGGGUUGGCUUAUGUUGAAGAAGAUUUAGUCUAUGUGUGCCCUUAGAAGCGGUUAGUUAAUGGACCUUGAAGCUGUGAAGAAUCUUGAAGGUAAAGAAACAUUUUAAGCAAGGGAAAGUUCAGGAAGGUGGUUAAGUCUCGCUGAACCAUGGUUGGAAGGAAGAUAUAGCUGGGAGCAGGUUUCAUGGGGGAUGUGGCAGAUCUGAUCAUGGUGCUUUCAAUAAAUCUAGUCCAUUGAAAAGCUUGUUUGGUACUUACACUGGUGCUGGUAAUAAUUUGCUGACUCCAAAUAUGAUGUGGUGCUUUCGUUGAAGAGUUAAUGGUGUCCUUGGAGGUAGAACAGAUGGAGAUCCAAGUUGUGAGGAUGAAAUGAAGUUCUACUGGUAUUGGAAGCACCUAUUGGGAAAUACAGCUCCCGGCAAAGUGAAACACUUGCUGUGGAAUUGUAGACUGGGCAUUGUAGCUUCUAAAGAAACCACGUGGAAGUGGAAAUUACUUCGGAUAUUCAGUAUCCAUUGUGUGAUGAGUGUCCAGAAUCCAUUUACCAUUUAGUUGUGCAUUGUCCUUCUGUUAGAAAUCUGAUGUCGGGGUGAUUGCUUUUUUAGGGGAUAGUAUUCUACAGGUGGGAAUGGGGAGGUGUCGAGAUUGUGAAGCGUGGUUUGGAGGGGAUUUUUGAGUUGGUAGCAGUCUUGAUUGAUGGCUAUGGAAAUGGGUAGCAGUCUUGAUUGAUGGCUAUGGAAAUGAGUUACGAUUCAGUGAUAUUGGAAGGAGAUGCUGCUCAAGCAUUCAUCAAUAUGCUGGCACGGUGUAAAAGUUGCGCGCCCUGACUUAAGUUUACUUUUUCUCCAACGAAGGGGCGAUUAUGGGGUUCAUUUGUUGGCAUCAUUUUGUUAUAAGUGGGAAAGGAGUUGUAAUUGGUGAACUCCUCCACCCUUCUUUUGUUAUUAGAUGCCUGGAGGAAUGAUUUGUUCCUGGUUGUAUGUUUUUUGCACUCCAUCGAUGAAUUCUAUAACUUACUGGGAAAAACAGUUUAUCCUGCUUCUUCAAGGCUGACUAGGCUUCUGCAUCAAAUUCAAUUUCGGUAAUCUGAAGGGCACCAGGUACUAGGCAAGGAUUAGCCCUGUCGGAGCAAGAGGUUUCAAAACUCCCGGGGAGCAAAUCCUAGUGUCGGUCUUCAGGCCUGCUAUGAGUCCCUUGCGAUCUCCAACCGUAACUCCCUGCCUGACACUAAGGAUAGCUUGUUGAAUUGCAGUAUCCUCGUCCGCUUUAAGUUUUGUUCAGCAAGCUUGCUCGAUGAUCCCGGGAUUCGGAGUGAGAUCACCCAUCUAUUUGUUUUUUGUUCAAUAAGAAGAUGCUCCAAUCUAUUUGCCAUUUCAUGGUUGUAGCUGGAUACUCCUCUGAACUCUAAUGAGCAACCAAGGCCUUCUUCUGA